ACGAGCGGUAAGUCAUAUUGAACACAUAAAACAAACGUAAAUGUAACAAUAAAGAUAAUUAUGUUAUCUUAAUUGUAAUAUGAUAGUUUAAUGACAAUGUUAUUAUACGCAUAUCUCAAUCGGAACAAUUUGAUGUAGACGGCAUUGCCAAGGUGUUCACUUACUCUGAAAUCGGAGGGCAUCAUCAAGUAUACCAAAAUGAUCCAGUCAAUGGCGGGGAUGACGGAAAGUACGAGUUCUUGGAAGGGCGUUCUAAUCAAAACGUUUACGAAGAACUUCAGUGUACAGAGUCUGGUGACAGAGGGAGAUAUGCCAACACCGAAGAUGCUGGUGACGAUAAACAUUGACGCAGUACCAGAUACAUACCAUUAUUAAAUAAUGUCUUGCUUUGAAAGGUGUGACAACAGCAAUAUCAAACUAUUGCAUUAUAAUGAUGCUUUAAAGAACCUUUCGGGCGAUUAAAUUGGCAGCAACAACAUCAAUGCAUAUAUUCAAAUUAACAUUUGAUCUUGACGUUCCUCAUCACCUCAAACAGACCUGGUGAAUCGCAUUCGUGGUACGUUAAGCAACGGAGAACGACAUUUGUUGGAGAACUGGAAAUUAUUAUGUACUAUUUUACAAUCACCUACUUUGAUCAUGAAGAAAAACAAGUAUCCCGCUAUGUUGUUGAAUUGUAACAAUAUGUAAACAAUGUGUACACUAAUGCGAGGUGAAAAUGAUUUGAUUGCAAAACAAUUGAAAAUUAUGUUGAUGAUGAAAAUACUUAAUCACUAAGUAAUUAUUUUAUCGGAAGAGAGAUGUUUCUGUUCGCUUUUGUUUUCAAAACGAACUUAAUCGGAAAAGACAUAUUUCAAAUGACAAACGUACGACAAAAAGCUGGUAAUUUGUCACCAUAUAAACAAAAACAGCAGAGUCCUCGGUCACUUGGAAGAAAUACGUAAAACAAUCUUCAGGUGUGCAAAUUAACGCACUGUGGGAAAAUACGAACCCUUGCUCUGCCGGUGCAUUAAGUGUUUGUAAACAUAUUGCAUGAUACAAUGUAUGACGACCAAGCAAAUUUGUAGAAAUUUAGCAACAUUUAAUACUCAAAGAAUGGGUCAAAUCCUAUGCCUUUGUUUAAAUUAAAUAUACACGUAUAAACAUGCUUUUAAGUAGAUAGAUGGAAUGUCCACGAAUGUAUCUAUGUUACCAAAUUCCGUUAAUUGUUCAACAAGGUUUGGUUUAUUCCUUGUAAGGUUUCCAUAGCGUUGGAAUGCAUUCUGUCACAUUGUACUGAAGAAAUAUGGCAGUUGGAAUACAAGUGUACAGCAAUUAUAUUCUAUCAGUUUUUUUUUUCAGAAGUCGUUUGCCAACACGGUGAUGAUUCCUGGUGUUAGUAACUGGCUCUGUGCAUAUAUGUACACUCAAUCAAUAGAAGCAUUCGUUUCAAACGAUCAUGGCUCUUGUUUUAGACGCACCCGAUCUGAUUAGCCUAGCAAGGCUACGGGACACCUUUUCUGAUACUCGUAAACGGUUAACGAGACAGCGAUAGGGAUUACAUAAUAUUGUGUGUUCACACUACUGAUUUUACGAGUCUUACGCUCGAUUCCUGGCAUCAGGAAUGCAAACAUUAUGGAAAUAUCAACCUAAUAGGACGAGAUCAGACUAAGUUCUGUAAUAUAACAAUACGAAAUUUGAACCCUCGAUUUUAAUGCGCUUAAAGUAACACAUUAUAGUAAACGAGUUUUUUUCGACCGUUAGUUUUGGCCGCGUUUUCUGACAAGGGAUGUUCUUAGACUUUGCUGAUUCAAGUAUCACAUUUGCUUUGAAUUAAAAUACACCUCGCCGAUAUAACAGAUUCAUAUAUCAUGAUGCCGCUUUAUUGUUAUGCUUUCACACGUACACAUCUCAUCUUGCAUACUGCAGUGCAGGAAAGAAUCCGAAAACAUUUCAUGAAAGGUUAACAGUUCUUUCCGUCUCUCUCUGGCUCUGGCUCUGGCUUGAAUAAAAAAUAUAUUGACA